CUGGCCGUGGCACUCAGUGCUCUGGGCUGGGGCACAAGGUGGGCAUUGGGCACAAGGUGGACUCGAUGGUCUGGGAGAUCUUUUCCAGCCUGAAUGAUUCUGGGAUUCUGUGAUUC